CUGCAGCCCCCCCUGCAGCCCUCCCCUGGUCUCCUGCUGGGGCAGACGGUAUGUAGAGUCGUGAAGUCUGAGCCUCACUGGGAAUAAUCGUGCUUCAAAAUGUGCCGCUGACCCUCUCCUGCCGGCUCGGCGGACGCCUGCUGGAGCAGAAGCGCACUCCGGAGGCCCCAGCAGGACUGUGACUCAGCAGAACCGCAGGCAGAUUUGUUCCCGUGUUGGACUCAACAAAAACAAAGUCGAUUAAAGAUUUUACAUGUUGGUGCGAUGAACCAUAUCCAGAACAGACUCGUCUUCUCUCUGAGUUCUUACGCAACAACCAGAGAGAAAGUCGUGAAUGACACAACAGAGACGAGCAGCGAGUGACCUCACUGUCAGGAAUUCUGGGAAUUUGUUGUUAAAUGAAGCUCCAUGUGUUUCCACUUCUGAGACUGGAGCAAACUGCAGAGGUGGGGUUUGUGGGAGGAAACAAGAAAACUAAACUAACUGUAUUUAUUUUAUAGUGGCCGACAUGGAGCUGAUGUCUGAGAGGACUUCUGAUCAUGUUGGAAAUUCCUGAAUUAGCCAGAUGAAGACAGAUGUGUCCAGAGUGUCCUCUCUGUGAGACGCACGUCUUCUGCGUCCUCACUUCAUUCAGCCUCCAUCCGGCCUCUUCCCUUCCUCUCUUUCUCUGCUGCUGUUUAUUUCUGUGUGUUUGUUCCAGGCGGGCGCGGACUCUGACCCUCAGGACGACCUCAGUGGAGGAAGAGGGUGGAGGAGAGGGACGAAGAGGAGGAGGAGGAGGAGGAGAGGCUUGUGGGAAAGAAGGAGGAUCUGUCCAGGAUCAGGAGAAAAGGACAGUCAAGGAGUUUGUGUUUUUUUUCUCCUGGAAGUAACUGAUGGAGAUGAUGAUCUUAUGUCUGUGACAUCAUCAUACGGUGACAAACGCAGCGGCUAACGCUGAUGAUGCUGCUAACACUGCUAACGCUGCUUAAGAUUUUAAAUUCAAAACGUGUUAAUUGAAAACAGCAUGGAUGGUACCUGUGGUCCGGAUGUUUGAAGUGUAGCUCAGACACCGGCCACAACUGCAAGUACGAUGUUUGUAGGGAAGAGUUAGCAGAGUAAACAGUUGCUUUUGUCGCAAGAUGAUGACAUCAUAACAAAAGCCACGCACCAACAGCAAAGACUGCACGUGGCUGCCCGCUCUGUCCCGGCAGCACGAUCUGUGCUGUCAGCUCAUUUGUGCAUGCGCUAAAUGACAGACUUCUGUAAUGUGCUCGAUUUAGGACAAAAUACUGUCAAUAAUUAUUUCUAUACUUAAUUAUAAAGGUGUUACAUUAUAUUCAGAAAACUGUUUAAAUAUUGUAUAUAUUUUGAUUAAUAAAAUAUAGAUUUACUAUGUGUACAUAUUUAUUUAUAAUAACUUGUAAACUAUUUUCUAGACAAUCGUGUUAUAACUCAUGUUAUCCUCGUUUUAUUUUUUCCUGGAAUAAAAAUCCACAGCUGUUGCAAACGUUGUAUUUUCUAUAAAACUUUGCAGGCGAAGAAAGACUGAAAUCCAAUGAAUUCUGUCAGCAGUUUAGCGAAAUGCUACAUGCUAAAAACAAUGUUUCUGGGACGGAUCGGGCAGCCACACUGCAUUCCAUUCAGAAGUAAUUAAAUGUAAACGUUAGCAUUUAGCCACUACGUUUACAUGUAACUCUUACAUUUAGAUUUAGAGUUUAACACAUGACUAUUCAACUGGUGGCCUGCGGGCCACAUCCAGUCCACAGGUGAACAAAGUCCGGCCCGCCAAUUGGUUCAAUAAUCUCAUAAGCCCAAACCGCUGGUUUUCUACUUGGAUUACUAAUACAGAAACAUCAGAAUCUUGGCUACAAGCUGGUAAAAAUCAUUUCCAUGAACACCCGAGACAGUUAAAACUGCAACCAGCUGAAGAUAAAACAAUGAAAGUGAAAAUAAAAUUGGUGUAAAAUUUUGUAAAGUCAGGGAUGUUAAAAUAUUU